AAUUCAAUGAUUUCAACUUCACCGCUGACCAGCCAAGCCUUACAGCCUUCGAGUGUUUGCCCAUAUAUUAUAAUGUCCAC